rnacentral:rRNA from 1 species
UACGUAGGGUGCAAGCGUUGUCCGGAAUUAUUGGGCGUAAAGAGCUCGUAGGCGGUCUGUCGCGUCGGCUGUGAAAACCCGGAGCUCAACUCCGGGCCUGCAGUCGAUACGGGCAGACUGGAGUUCGGCAGGGGAGACUGGAAUUCCACGUGUAGCAGUGAAAUGCGUAGAGAUGUGGAGGAACACCGAUGGCGAAGGCAGCCCCCUGGGCUGAGAUUGACGCUCAGGCACGAAAGCGUGGGGAGCAAACAGG